UUUGCCUACGGGGCGCAGCAGUGAGGAAUAUUGGUCAAUGGCCGGAAGGCUGAACCAGCCAAGCCGCGUGAAGGACGAAGGUGCCAAGCAUUGUAAACUUCUUUUGUCAAGGGACAAAAUCAGGCUCGAGAGCCUGACCGAGGGUACUUGAAGAAAAAGCAUCGGCUAACUCCGUGCCAGCAGCCGCGGUAAUACGGAGGGUGCGAGCGUUAAUCGGAAUUACUGGGCGUAAAGCGCUCGUAGGCGGUAUGUCAAGUCAAGGGUGAAAUCCCCGCGCUCAACGUGGGAACUGCCUUUGAAACUGG
rnacentral:rRNA from 1 species